rnacentral:rRNA from 1 species
GAGUUUGAUCGUGGCUCAGGAUGAACGCUGGCGGCGUGCCUAAUACAUGCAAGUCGAGCGAACAGACGAGGAGCUUGCUCCUCUGACGUUAGCGGCGGACGGGUGAGUAACACGUGGAUAACCUACCUAUAAGACUGGGAUAACUUCGGGAAACCGGAGCUAAUACCGGAUAAUAUAUUGAACCGCAUGGUUCAAUAGUGAAAGACGGUUUUGCUGUCACUUAUAGAUGGAUCCGCGCCGCAUUAGCUAGUUGGUAAGGUAACGGCUUACCAAGGCAACGAUGCGUAGCCGACCUGAGAGGGUGAUCGGCCACACUGGAACUGAGACACGGUCCAGACUCCUACGGGAGGCAGCAGUAGGGAAUCUUCCGCAAUGGGCGAAAGCCUGACGGAGCAACGCCGCGUGAGUGAUGAAGGUCUUCGGAUCGUAAAACUCUGUUAUUAGGGAAGAACAAAUGUGUAAGUAACUAUGCACGUCUUGACGGUACCUAAUCAGAAAGCCACGGCUAACUACGUG